rnacentral:lncRNA from 1 species
UAGAGAAGAGACCCUCAUUCCAGCCGCCACCCACCCUAACCAACCCAAAAGACCCUUCGAGACCACUAGGCUUCAGCACCGAUCAUCUCUUCACCACAGCCGCCCACCCCAGAAAAAGAACUCCCCAGCGCCGCUGCCUUCCUUCUCCAACCACCUGCGGCCACCCUUUUCUCUAACCUUCAGCCGCAAAAACCCUCGCCUUCUUUCACCAAAACACACAUACGUACAAUAGCGAAAAACAUAUUAGUACAUAUAGAAUAGGUAGAAUUCAUUUAGUCUUACACUUUGUAUUCUAAAGAAUCCUUGUUUACAUAACCUUGUACUCUAGAUAGAGUCCUUCUUGACUUGAUACAUUGUACUCUAUAUAUAAUAGAGAAGCUCUCACGUUGAGAGCAUCUUGGGCAAAAUACUAUUUCUCACAUGGUCUCAGAUAGCCAUUAUUAGCCAAACCUAUUUCACACAAGUUCUUCUCAAUCAAAUAUGGUGACAUCCACCAGGGAAACAUCUUCAGCGCCUGUUUCUUCUCCGACAGAUCCUAUUAUUCCUUCUAAUUUAUCUGCACCUUCAACCACGGGAGCUUUCAUAAUUCCUCCUCUCUCUCAAACACUUCCACCAUUCUCCCUUCCUCCUAUCUCUUAUUCAAUUUCCUCGAUGCCAACCUCUCUCCCUGGUCAAUAUUCCUCUCUAAACACUUUACCUGGUUCAUUAGUUAGUAGUGUUGGUCUACCCUUUCAAUUGCCAUUUACUGGUUCUUUGGACCCAACAUCUCUCUCACAGUUCAAUUUUGUCGCCGCUCUUGCUGCACCAAACGUCACAAAUCUGGUAACUAUCAAGCUUGCCUCUGUUGAAGACUACCUCACAUGGCGUACUCAAUUUCAAUCUCCCCUGCUCUCACGUGAACUUCUUGGAUUUGUUGAUGGCUCAAUUCCUCUACCACAUCUUUUUAUCUGUGAUGGAUCUGGAACUCAACAACCUAAUCCUCUUUAUAGAUCAUGGGUUAAAGUUGAUCAAAAUGUUCGUUCUUGGCUGUUUGCGACGCUUUCUCGAGAAGUUCUCAUGGAUGUUCAUUUACUGCCUACUUCACAUGAUAUAUGGAAUUCUCUACAACGUUGCUACAUAGAUGCCAGUCAAGCAAAAUCUGUUGAACUAAAGAGACAACUCACUACUAUGCGCAAAAAUGGCUCUAUGUCAAUUGAUCAGUAUCUUCGCGAGGCCAAGCAGAUUGCUGACUCUCUUGCAGCAAUAAAUUCUCCUGUCUCUUCUUAAGAUUUUAUUGAUCAUGUGCUUCUUGGAUUGGGCAAGGAAUAUGACACUUUGGUUGGGAUUAUUACACACUAUCCUGGUUCAUUGUCGCUUGAAGAACUCAGAACGAAACUUCUACUCCAUGAAGAACGGUUGAAGCGUUUCAAGGAUAUAGAUACAGUUGUCACUCAUCAAGCAUUUGCUGCUCAAAAUGUGACUCAAAUCACUCAAAUGUCUCGGGUAUUCACUUUGCUUCUCUAGGAGGUCGUGGCAGGGGUCGUUCUUUCACAUCUAGGGGUCGAGGCCGUGGUGGUAGAGGUCGAGGCUCCUUUAGUCGGGUUCAACAACAUCAGGCAUCUUCUGGAUACACUUUUACUCGCAGUGGUUUCCCUGGACAAUCAUCGUCAGGUAUUGGUAGCGCUCCAACUGCCCCUUAUAUUUCGCCAUCUGUUAGUGCACCUUCAUCUUCCAUUGGAGUUUUAGGUCCUCCACCUUCUCCAACUGUUUGUCAAAUUUGUGGAAAUCCUGGUCAUUCUGCUCUUCAGUGUAAUAAUCAUUUUAACCAUGCAUUUGUUGCUAACGAUCUGCCUAAGUCUUUCGCUGCUAUGUCGGUUGGUGAAACAAAUUAUGCUACUUGGUAUUUAGACUCAGCUGCUACCGCUCACAUGACUCCAUCUGAAGGUAAUUUUAUGCAUAAAUCUGCUUACAAUGGUUCUGAUCAUGUCUUGGUUGGGAAUGGAUCUUUGCUUAAAAUUGAAAAUAUUGGCUACGCUCAGUUACCCACUCCAUCUCGUCCCCUACAUUUGAAAUCCAUAUUUCAUGUUCCCCAUCUCCGCCAUAAUUUACUUUCUGUCAAGCGAUUAUGUAAAGAUAAUAAUUGUGCUGUUAAUUUUGACUCAUCUUCUGUUAUUGUUAAGGACAAAGCCUCGGGUCAAACUCUCCUUCAAGCUUCCAGUGAGGGUGAUGUAUAUCCUUUAUCUCCUUGGUCCAGGUCUUCUUCUCCUCAAGCUUAUGUUGUUUUUUGUCAGUCUGGUGAUACAUGGCAUCGUCCCUUGGGACACAGUGGUGCUCGUGUUUUAGCUACUCUUAAAAACAAUAAUGCUAUUAGUUUGUCAAAUUCGUUUACUAAUAAAUGUGUCUCUUGUCGUCUAGGAAAGUCUCAUUGUUUAUCAUUCAAUCAAGUAGAACAUUGUAGUUCUUUUCCUUUGGAUAUUAUUCACUCAGAUGUUUGGCAAUCACCCAUUUAUCCAAUUUGGGCUUUCAAUAUUAUGUUAUUUUUGUUGAUGAUUUUUCUCGAUUUACAUGGCUUUAUCCAAUGAAAAAUAAAUCAGAAGUUUUUACUCAUUUUUGUGCCUUUCAAAAGCUGGUAGAAAAUUUAUUUAACACUAAGAUAAAAUAUUUUCAAAGUGAUGGAGGAGGCGAGUUUGACAAUAAGGCCAUGCUUUCACAUUUUACUAAUUCUGGCAUUUCUUUUCGUAAGUCGUGUCCGGACACUCCUCAACAAAAUGGGGUUGUUGAACGGAAACAUCGACACAUUAUUGAAAUGGUACGCACAAUUAUAACAGAUGUUACUCUCCCGUUUCAAUUUUGGGUUGAUGCAGCCUUUUAUGCUGUUUUUACUAUUAACGGGUUACCUACGCCUAUUUUACAUGGACUUUCUCCCUUUGAGAAACUUUUUCAUAGAAUUCCAUAUCACAACUUUCUCCGAGUUUUUGGUUGUGAAUGCUUUUCCAAUUUGUCUGCUCGAGUUUCUCAUAAGUUUACACCUCGUUCAGUUAGAUGUGUCUUCCUUGGCUAUGCAUCUGAUUAUAAGGGAUAUCGUUGUUUAGAUCCAAAAUCUGGUCGUGUAUAUGUUAGUAGACAUGUUAUAUUUCAUGAACUAAUUUUUCCAUAUUCUGAGUUGUCUAGUUCUCCUACUGUUGCCUCCCCUUCAUCCUCUAAUUCUGAUCCUCUUGUUGUCAUGUCGCCUCUAAAUCGUAGGAUUCCACCACCUCAACUUGAAUCUUCUGUGUCUACCGAUGUUCCAUCAUUACAUAACACUUCUCAUGUAUCUCAACCUUUAUCCUCUAGAACUAUAGAUUCCACAAGUUGUCAGAUCUCUCCUGUAGAGCCUAUUUCACCUGUACCUAGCCUUAGCGAGUCAUUACAUGCAGGUUCUUCACCAUCUUUGUCUACCUCAUUACCUAUUACUAAUUCCUCAACUUCGCCAUCUACCCCUUCCCAGCAUCCAAUGCAAACUCGAUCUAAGUCUGGUAUUUCUAAGCCAAAGAAACAAUUUUCUUUGAGUGCUAAUAUCCAUGAACAGGAACCUUCUUGCUUUUCUCAAGCUGUGAAAAAUUCAAAGUGGCAACAAGCAAUAGCAGAUGAAUUCAAUGCCCUUUUAGAGAAUAAUACUUGGAUCCUUGUUCCUUUUACCCCUAGCAUGAACUUAGUCGGUUGCAAAAGGGUAUAUCGCAUAAAAUAUAAUUCAGAUGGGUCCAUUGAGCGAUACAAGGCUCACCUUGUAGCACAAGGUUUUCAUCAAAAGACAGGCAUCGAUUAUCAUAAGACAUUUAGCCCUGUUGUUCGUUCGACAACUGCGAGAAUUGUUCUUUCCCUUGCUGUCUCUACAUGAAGCAACCUCCAGGUUUUAUUCAUCCAGACUAUCCUAAUCAUGUUUGCAAGCUAACCAAAGCCAUCUAUGGCUUGAAACAAGCUCCACGAGCUUGGUUUCAUCACUUCAGUGCAUUUCUUAUUUCUCAUGGUUUUGCUUGUAGCAAAUCUGAUAGUUCGAUGUUUAUUUAUCGCUCUUCUUCUCAUAUCCUUAUUCUAUUACUCUAUGUUGAUGAUAUCUUUCUCACAGGUAGUCAUAAUGGUCUUCUUGAUCAAUUUAUUUCUCGUCUAUCCCAUUAGUUUGCUAUGAAGGACUUAGGCAAUCUCUAUUAUUUUCUUGGUAUUCAAGCAGUUCGUACAUCUCACGGUCUUCACUUGUCUUAGCAAAAGUACAUUUCUGAUUUGUUACUUAAAUUUCAUAUGCACACAUGCAAACCAGUUCGUACUCCCAUUGCUUCUCGCACUUCUAUUUCUCUAAUGGACGGUGAGUUACUUUCAGAUCCUAGUGAAUAUAGGAGCAUGGUUGGUGCUCUUCAAUAUUUGACUAUGACUCAUCCGGAUAUUGCCUAUGCUGUAAAUGUUGUCUCUCAAUUUAUGCAUGCUCCCCGUACCACUCACAUGCAUUGUGUCAAGCGUACUUUCAGGUACUUGCAGGGUACUCUGACUUAUGGUCUAACUUUGCGUGCCCUAUCUCCGACUUUCAUGGUUAUUGCCUACUCGGAUGCUGAUUGGGCUGGUUGUCCAGAUAGUCGCCGUUCUACUUCAGGUUUUGCUAUGUUUCUAGGAUCUAAUCUUAUCUCUUGGCGUGCAAAGAAGCAGCCAACAGUUUCAAAAUCGUCUACAGAGGUCGAGUAUCGGGCUAUUGCAUACACUGUUGCUGAGACUUGUUGGAUUCGUCACAUUCUUUGUGAGCUUGGUAUCUUUCUUCAUGAACCAAUUCAUGUAUUAUGUGACAACAUCAAUUCAACUUACAUGACCCGUAAUCCAGUUUUCAUGAUCGCUCGAAACAUAUUGCUGUUGAUUUUCAUUUUGUGCGUGAUAAGGUUGCACAAGGAGAUCUUAUAGUUCAAUAUGUUCCAACACAUUUGCAGUUAGCAGAUAUCUGUACGAAGGGCUUGCCUUCAUCUCAAGUUUGUUUUCUUCGGGACAAUCUGUCUGUUACUCCCACCAGUACAGAUUGAGGGGGUGUAUUAGUACAUAUAGAAUAGGUAGAAUUCAUUUAGUCUUACACUUUGUAUUCUAAAGAGUCCUUGUUUACAUAACCUUAUAUUCUAGAUAGAGUCCUUCUUGACUUAAUACAUUGUAGAUUGUACUCUAUAUAUAAUAGACAAGCUCUCACGAUUGAGAGCAUCUUGGGCAGAAUACUAUUUCUCACAAAACAGAGGUAGGGAACGAAAAAAAGAAACGGG